rnacentral:rRNA from 1 species
UACGUAGGGUGCAAGCGUUAUCCGGAAUUAUUGGGCGUAAAGAGCGUGUAGGCGGCCAGGUAGGUCUGCUGUGAAAACUCGAGGCUCAACCUCGAGACGUCGGCGGAAACCAUCUGGCUAGAGUCCGGAAGAGGAGAGUGGAAUUCCUGGUGUAGCGGUGAAAUGCGCAGAUAUCAGGAGGAACACCGAUGGCGAAGGCAGGUCUCUGGGCAUUAACUGACGCUGAGGAGCGAAAGCAUGGGGAGCGAACAGG